UGGCCGCCGCCGAGGCUGGAGUUGGGGGUUUCUGUUAUUCCGGACGGCUUGGGGGGCUCUCUGUACCGUCAGAAGGCCACCAACAGCCCCCAGCUUGAGGCAAAAUGGGACACUGUGUACUGACAUGUAACUGCACGGAUCAGAAUCUGCAGAUAACACCAGAUUGCCAAGCAGCCAGUCACUAUGUGGCAGAUGCAGUUACCCUGAAAUCACUAUGUGAGAAGGCCAAAGUCAUUUAAUGAGUCCCUGGAGGAUACAACAUCUAUUGGAGAGGCAAAGGAGCUUCAAGAGACCAGACUAAGUGAAGAAGUCAUUGUGGAAAUGGAUCCUCCAGCCCCACGUGCCAUGGCUGUUGGUGUGUGAAUCAGAUGAACCACCCAGUAGAGCCCUUCCCAAUUUUGGACCCAUAAAAUAAUGAGCAAAAUAAAGUGAUUUGUUUUAAGCUCCUA